rnacentral:pre_miRNA from 1 species
GACUUCAACUGAAAAAGUCAUCAACAACAAAGUUGAAUAACUUAUCAUGAUCUAAAACUUUUAUUGUGGUCAUUUCUUCAUACGACAAAGUGAUAGUAACACUGUUCACAAAAUUGACAUAUCUCUUAUCUGGUUUUAUAAACUAUAACACAUAUAUGUAAAAUUUGUUAAUAAUAUUACUAACAUUUCGUCGGAUGAAGAAAUAACAAAAAUAAAAGUUUUAGAUCUUGAUGAGUUAUUCAACUUUGUUGUUGAUGACUUUUUCAGUUGAAGUC